rnacentral:rRNA from 1 species
GACGAACGCUGGCGGCGUGCCUAAUACAUGCAAGUUGAGCGCUGAAGGUUGGUACUUGUACCAACUGGAUGAGCAGCGAACGGGUUAGUAACGCGUGGGGAAUCUGCCUUUGAGCGGGGGACAACAUUUGGAAACGAAUGCUAAUACCGCAUAAAAACUUUAAACACAAGUUUUAAGUUUGAAAGAUGCAAUUGCAUCACUCAAAGAUGAUCCCGCGUUGUAUUAGCUAGUUGGUGAGGUAAAGGCUCACCAAGGCGAUGAUACAUAGCCGACCUGAGAGGGUGAGCGGCCACAUUGGGACUGAGACACGGCCCAAACUCCUACGGGAGGCAGCAGUAGGGAAUCUUCGGCGAUGGACGAAAGUCUGACCGAGCAACGCCGCGUGGGUGAAGAAGGGUGUCGGAUCGGAAAACUCUGUUGGUAGAGAAGAACGUUGGUGAGAGUGGAAAGCUCAUCAAGUGACGGUAACUACACAGAAAGGGACGGCUAACUACGUG